rnacentral:rRNA from 1 species
GACGAACGCUGGCGGCGUGCUUAAGACAUGCAAGUCGAGCGGACCGCUUCGGCGGUUAGCGGCGGACGGGUGAGUAACACGUGGAUAACCUGCCUGGCUAUCCGGGACAACAGACCGAAAGGUCUGCUAAUACCGGAUAAGCUCACGAAAGCGCAUGCUUUUGGGAGAAAAGCUCCUUUAGGGGAGUGCAGCCAGAGGGGUCCGCGCCCCAUUAGCUAGUUGGUGUGGUAAAGGCGCACCAAGGCGACGAUGGGUAGCCGGCCUGAGAGGGCGAACGGCCACACUGGGACUGAGACACGGCCCAGACUCCUACGGGAGGCAGCAGUCGGGAAUUUUGCACAAUGGCCGAAAGGCUGAUGCAGCAACGCCGCGUGAGUGAAGAAGGCCUUCGGGUUGUAAAGCUCUGUUGCCCGUGAAGAACGGCCAUGUCAGGAAAUGGGCAUGGUUUGACGGUAGCGGGAGAGGAAGCCCCGGCUAACUACGUGCCAGCAGCCGCGGUAAUACGUAGGGGGCGAGCGUUGUCCGGAUUUAUUGGGCGUAAAGGGCGUGUAGGCGGCCGUUUAAGUCGGGGGUGAAAAUCCAGGGCCCAACCCUGGGACUGCCUCUGAAACUGGAUGGCUUGAGUGCUCUAGAGGGUAGUGGAAUUGCCGGUGUAGCAGUGAAAUGCGUAGAGAUCGGCAGGAACACCAGUGGCGAAGGCGACUGCCUGGGGAGUAACUGACGCUGAGGCGCGAAAGCUGGGGGAGCAAACGGGAUUAGAUACCCCGGUAGUCCCAGCCGUAAACGAUGAGUGCUAGGUGUGAGGGGUAUCG